rnacentral:rRNA from 1 species
UGGGGAAUAUUGGACAAUGGGGGAAACCCUGAUCCAGCAAUGCCGCGUGAGUGAAGAAGGCCUUAGGGUUGUAAAGCUCUUUCGCCCGCGAAGAUAAUGACGGUAGCGGGAGAAGAAGCCCCGGCUAACUCCGUGCCAGCAGCCGCGGUAAUACGGAGGGGGCUAGCGUUGUUCGGAAUUACUGGGCGUAAAGCGUACGUAGGCGGAUGCGCAAGUUGGGGGUGAAAUCCCGGGGCUUAACCUCGGAAUUGCCCUCAAAACUGCACGUCUUGAGACCGAGAGAGGUAAGGGGAAUUCCUAGUGUAGAGGUGAAAUUCGUAGAUAUUAGGAAGAACACCAGUGGCGAAGGCGCCUUACUGACUCGGUACUGACGCUGAGGUACGAAAGCGUGGGGAGCAAACA